GGGGAAUUAGCUCAAAUGGUAGAGCGCCCGCUUUGCAUGCGGGAGGUAUCGGGAUCGAUACCCGAAUUCUCCA
rnacentral:tRNA from 1 species